ACCUCCAAGAGCCAAGUCUCCCUGUCACUGAGCAGCGUGACAACUGAGGAUAUGGCCCUGUACUACUGUGCAAGAGACACAGUGAGGGGAAGUCAGUGUGAGCCCAGACAAAAACCUCCCUGCAUAGGGGCCCGUGCCCACCAGGGGGCGCACAGGUCUCACUACGCGGCAGCACCCCGGAGCAGGAAGAGACCCAACCUCCUUCUGCCUGUGAAACUGCAC
rnacentral:lncRNA from 1 species